rnacentral:lncRNA from 1 species
AGCUCGCGGCUGUUAGCUCUUCGAUCGGGCUCGUAUCGAGCAGGUUUUAGAGGGGUUUCUGGUUUUGAGGUCUUUAAGAUGUGAUUGCUUUUGCCGUGAAGUUUGAACUGGUUCCGAUGCCAUCGGCGUCGUCGAUGUGCGAUUCGCGAAUCAAGUAUCGAGAGAUGCGCCGUUAGGCCUUUGUUGUUUGAAUCAGAUGCGAGGAGGCGGGCUCUGAGGAUGUGUAGGUUUUGUAGGUUUGUUUGCAUUUUAGAGCAUUUGAACUCGUGUCGGAUGAUUGGGCUGUCUGAUAGUGGUUCUUUACUUGAGUGGUCGGUUUUAACGAUCCUCCUGUCGUGAGGAUGAUGAGAGUAGAUUGUGAUAAGUGAAUGGGCUCCUCGAAAUUUAAAGGAUUUUGUUUGCUGGUCGAAAGGUCCACUUGGUUUUGUCUGGUUUAGAUAUGAUGAGAAAAGGAUUAAGUCAAUUCAGGGUAGAGGGUUUCCAUAUCUAAAUCUGCAAGACUAUCGCGUGGAAUAAUGGAGCUGAAAAAGCAUUCAGUUGAACCAUGAUACUUAUGAUAUUCAUUGACAAUCACAUGAACUGCUUGACUAAAAUUAUCAGAAAAGAAUUUUGGGAAGAAUACUGAAAAUCUAAUGUUCAAUAAUUCAAACAAAAUCUAACCAAAAUGAAGGUGAAUUCCUACACCAUAGGUAGGAUAUUACAGAAAAUGUCAGUACCUGAGGUGCAUAUACACAACCAAGGGCACCGACUAUAAUUCCUCCUAAGACAAAGCCGCCAACAAAGAUGCUUGCACUGCUCGGCCUUCCACCAUCUCUGCAUAAGAGAACAAGGAAAAGACUUGCAUCAGAUACAUUCAAUCACAACUAGGACUAUAGCCAUUACGUCACAAUUUGAUAGAAUUAUUAAAAUUUUAGGAAAUGAGUUUUGUAUUAUGAACAGAAAUUUCUUGUUGUCGGCUGACCUAUCUAACAUGUCAAGCAUAAAACGAAAGAAUUUAUUAUUGAAAUAAAUAUCAUUGGUUGUGGAAUGCGUUUGCCUCCACUGCAUGAGUCUUCCAGAUCCAUCCUUGCCCAAAUAGAUUUAGAAAAACAUUUUCCACGCUGAUCAGAUACACAAGUUUAGAGUAACUAAACUAUGUCUGCACAUCAAUGGAAGGAAGUCAGGAAUAGAGAAACAGGACAAGGAAAUACUGCAUAAAACUGUGUCCUGGCUCUCUCUUUCCCUCCUCCCUCGGCCCUUUUCCCCUCAACUUUUUCCUUUCCCUCUGUCACCCACAACAUUUUACAGAUUUGCCAGAUCUUGACAAGUAUUCAAUGUGUCUCUGUUUUGAAUACCCAUUUCUGCAACAUAAGGUCUAUACAGGUCUGACAUAGACGGGACAAUAAUAGAAGAAACACUGACUGCUGAUUAAGCUUCCACUUAGUAAUUGCAUCCAAAUUCUAGUAGUCAGAUUAUGGCAACAUAAACCAUAAAAUGUAGAAUGACGUCCUAUCAUAUCAGAAGUUAAGGAAACGUGUUCAGCUAUAACUUGUAUAUCAUCUGAUUCAAAUCAAGAAAGGGAGUAAGAUGCCGAUGUCUAAAUAGAGGAUGCACAAAACCUCUGCUCGGCAAUCGGGCAGAUUCAUUCCAACAUGACAAGAUGAACAUUUCGAGUGAGAAUUACACCGUGAGUCAUGCUAAUGUGGUAGCACACGCCCAUCACGUACUCUAGUCUUCAUCGCAAGUUUUUGCACAUUCAUCGAAAACGAGCACCACACCAACAAGUCGUACGAUAUAUCGAUCAGGCGAAAGGCUUUCCCGCGCAAGACAGCUAAUCAUCACAAGCAUGCGGCAGGUGACGACACCCAUAAGAAGCCGCACAAUGCAACUUCUUUAUGAGAUAAAAGCAAUAGGCAAGGCAGACGGCCGCAAAAACUCGAUUUCCCGCCGUGAUCUGCAGUCAAUCACAGGUCUCGAGCUCGCUAAACUCAUCGCAGGCUACUUAAUGCAACUGUCGCAAGUGCACAGGAAUUAGUAACACUGAUUUACAGGCAUUUGCCUUCUCUUCAUCUCGCGGCUCGCCAACAAACAUCCGUCUCAUUCAGCUUUUUUCUAGGAUCAAGCGCGAUUCAAAGCUAGCGAUCAGCACAAAACAUCGAACGGAAAGACGAAAUCGAAAGGGAGAUUGUUACUCGACGAGAGCUGCGCCCGGGGAUUUCUCGCUGAGGCCAGAGGACUCGAGACUGCGCUCAUCGUUACGGCGUGCGGCGUAAGGUGGGAGCGAAGCGCGAGGGCAACGAGGUUCGAUUCGAGAGCGGAAUGAGAAAUGGAAGGAGGGAGGAGAUUAGAAAAUGGACGAUCCGUUGUGGUGCUCAAUAGUAUCGAUGCAGCUCGCUCGCUUGGGAGCGACACAGUCGAAGAGACGAAGAGCGGUGGCGAUCCCCUGCUUCGAAGACUGAACGUAAAGGAUAUUGUCAAAGUUUGAAGACUGCCAGAAGACUGAACGUAACACAUGUCCAAAGUUUAUUUUGAAGAUUUUCAGACUUAGACUGCCAGACUUUAGUGUCGAAGACUGUUCUACAUCAGAAGUCUGCCCACUCUGACAAAUUCCAGACUGAACGUGAAUGAAGAACCAGAAGACAGACUCUAUGCUGAAGUUGAACUUAUUCAGGUUGUGUUCAGACCUUAAAGCUAAAUCUGUUCAGAAGCAAACUAUGUUCAGACUUACGUCCAGAUUAUAAAGUCUAUUGCACUCAGACUUUACUUCAGACUGAAGAGUCUGAACACUCUCAGACUUUACGUUCAGAAUGAGACACAAGUUCAGGACGUAGCAGAUUCAGAACGAAGCAUGUUCAAAACGAAACAACUUGACAGAACGUAACACUAGUGAUCUAGUUUGGAUUUUACAUCAAGAUAGAUUUGAUUGACUCAAUCUAAUUGAUUGACUCAAUCUAAUUGAUUGACAAUUGGAUCGUGAAGGCAAGAACUUUCUAUACGAAGAAGUUUUAUUUAUGGAAACCAAGAUUCUAGUUGUAUGAGCGAUCAUAAUCAAUAUCAUAAUCAAUUUGGGAUUCUACUUUAUCACUCAACGAAUAUUAAAUCUUCUAGAUAUAGAUCUGUUCAAUGGGUAAGUUGGAAUUGUCCAACGGCUAGUUUGGAUGUGGAGGAGUAUUUAAGGAGAUCAAGGACCGAUGAGCAAGUAAGAGACGGAGCGUAGAAUUUAUAAUUCCAAAGUUUAAGCGACCUUCGAUUAUACACUUGUCUCUUGUGAACUUAAACGUUUGUGAUCGUGAGAGAAAUGCCAAAAGAGUGACUUAGUGAGAUAGUGUGAUCUACCUCUGAAUGUUUGCACUCAAAGUUGUAAUCUCUUGUUGGUUACAUAGUGGAAUCCAGCCAAAAGGCUGUUAGCGUGGGAGAGUGGACGUAGGCUUAAUUUAAGCCGAACCACUAUAAAUUCUGUGUUUUUAUUCUCUUCUCUGAACUCCUUUAUUUUGUUCGUAGUUCUAUUUAACUCCUAAAGUCUGAAUUUGCUAAAAGUUUGUUGUUCUUCAGACUCAGUUUCAAAAGUAAAAUAUUUCUACUGUUCUUUGCGAAAAAUUAUCUUCACACCUAUUCACUCCCCUCUAAGUAUUUAUACUAGCACUUACAGUGCCUUAUCUGGACAAAUGCUUUGCUAAUGUGCAAGCUUACUUGGCAUUAUUAGCCAUAUGAAUUCAAGGUAGGAUCUCCUCUAGGAAAGGAACGCAAGCGUGGAUUUGUAGAUAAUCCAAAUGGAUUAUUUUCAGCACAGGCAACUCCCAAGCCGCCACCUGCUAUGUACUCGAUAAUAGAAGGGAUGAAAGUGGGUGGAAAAGUGAUUUUCUCUUGGUUCCCAACGGUAGUAAAUAUUCACUAAUGUGGCUAGUUUGCCAUUCAGUACUUGAAUUGCAUACCCUUUGACUAGUGCUGUUGUAUUUUCCUUGUCAUAUCUUCUCUGUCUUAUUGUUCUUCAAGUUUCGUCCUUUUUCAGAGAACAGUGAUUGUUCCGCUGGCUAUGGUGAGAAGGGAAUGGCCGAGAUACCGGUAGUCUUUGUAUUUUUGAUCAUGACUAACAAUCAUUUUUGUUGUGACAUGAGUACCUUUAUUAUGGCCAUCAAAUCAGCAGGUCGUCAAAUGAUGUCAUUGGGAAUUAACAAACUUCGUGUUUAGGAGCUGAACAUACCACCAAAUGCCUGGUUCUUAGAGCUUGCUUGAAUUUUAUUGCAUGUUUUAAGAUUUCAAUUCCAAUCCUAACUGAGGUUUUUGGUGUAUUUGCAUGUUGGCUGGAGUUCAGCUGCAUUUGGCAUCUCUGAAAGUGUCAUUACAUGUUGUUGAAAGGUAAAUAUAAUUUAUUCCCGAGAGUAAUUGUGUUUUCCUUUUCCAGCCAGGAGCCACCUUUGAACUGAAUAUCGAGCUUCUGCAAGUAGAACAGCCUGAAAGAAGCCAGACUUAGCAUUGGGUGAGCAGGACCAUGAGGAGAUGGAGUUGAUAUAAUGCUGAAAUUUUGUCUCUUUUUCUUCUAACAAAAGGCAGAUGAGUCAGCUGAGGGAUCCUUAUGGGCAGAGCAAUUAGUCAGAUUGAAAUUGUGACUCUCUAGUUUCUACAUAUGCUAUCUGCAUCAAAAAAGCCCCUGCACAUUUUGUAUGUAUCUACCAGGAUUUUGGAAUUCAACGAAACACCUUCUUCAUCUUCUUCAUCUUAUGAUAUUCUUGCUUCUAAUGCUGCAGAAUUCACUGAUAUUGUUUGUAUUGUAUAAAUGAGACUGUUGACCGCAGGAGUAGAGACUAAAUUUCCAAACUUCUCUCCCAUCCUCUUCAAGGAAAACAUGAUCGGCACCUGCUUGCAACAAGCUCUGGUUUAUCUUAUCACAAAAAUAGGAACAUUGGAUGAUAGUUAGGAACAGUGUUUUUGUGCUCUGCCAUACUUACAGUUGUGAAUCUGGCAUUCUUAUUCCAUCAACCUAGAACAUUUAUUGAAUGAAGAAGCAAAAUUUAGAAGGAUGAGGAGCAUGGAAGUUGCAACAGAAUUGCAUAUUAUGUCAAAACGAGUAGUCCACUGUGUCAUUUUUUUUUUCUUUUGAAUUGCUGGCUUUUUUCUUUAAUAAUGAAAAAUUCCACCAUAGAUAAACUCCAACCUGUGAGAUUCCUCAAUAAUCUUGUAGACAAGUCACAUGGGAGCCAAAAUUUCCAUUUUCCUUUUGGAAAUUGUGCACGGCAUUUUACAUAUUAAUCUUAGUAUGAAGCACGAAGCCUAAAAUCAAUAUGGAAGGGUGGUUUUACGGUAACUUUCGUUUUCUAUGAGUGCUUCAUAUUGUGCUAAAUGAUUAGAUCCUGUUUAUUAUUAUUUGAUAGUCUUAGUUUUUGUGGUUUUAUGGCAUAAUAAGGGCCGUUUUCAGCAAUUAAUUUUGUCAGUUUGAUAUUCUAAUUGCCAAAAUCCCACACCAGGAAUCCUCUUAGAAUACACACACAUUCGUUCAUUACCCAUUGAAUACAUUAUACAUACAACGGACUAAUGGAGUAUUUCAUAAAACAAAGAAAACAUGCGACGGAGUUAAUAUUUGUCAGUUUAUCUUUAGGUAACAUUUACAUUUUCGUUGAAAUGUAUUUUCCCUUGGUUCAUUUCUAGCAAAACUAAAAGCAUCGUUUCAUUUUAUGUUUGAUUCGUGUAUAUUUUGAUAAUUCGAUGGGUCUGGUUUACACAAUUCCAGUUUAUUCAAUAAUUAACUAUCGGCAAUUGUUCGCUUUUAUAAAAAAAUUCACUAUCACAAGUCAGAACACGAGGUUGAAAUUGUUUGAAAAUGAAUGGGAAAAAAAUGGAUAAUUACAACCUAAAAUUAUAUUGUCUUGGGCACUUAAGUACUAAGACUUUAUUUUAUGUAUUUAAAUUCUAAAACUUGCCAUUUUGAUGAAUUUUAAGACCUUCCUUCAGUUGAUGUUCAAAUGCAAGGAAUGAAAGUAUUAGAACUUAAGUUCAUGAAAUUGACAAGUUUAAGGAUUUAUGCUAAUAGUUAGCUUGAAAGAAAAUAUGAGCUUAAAUCAGCGUGAAAAUGAAAACCUUUUUCAUUAGUUUCGUUUCUCACAUAAUUUAAUUAUUUUUACGCUAAUGAAAUAUUCUGAAAUGCCGAGGAGGCAACUAGACAAACAGCUCACACAAUCAGGGAUAAUUACAUCAUACCCCCUUAGUUUUUUGGCUAUGGCAAUUUGCCCCUAAUAACUCAAUUUUUCCAUGUCAUCCAGACAUUUUGAAAUCUAGCGCAAUGUUGACCAAACACUCUACAUGGUAUCUCUCAUUUUAGAUUUGAUGAAAUGUGAUGAACUAAGAUGAGAUAGAGGGAAAGAAGAGGGGAUAGUGAUUGCUAACGGAGACAAGCAAUGCCUAUUACCUUGGGAUUGGUUGGUGCUCGUAGUGACAAUGGUCGAUGAUUCAGGUGCUCUUGCUUGGAUUACCAUUGCGUAAAAAAGAAUCAUAUCGAGCGAGAGACGAUCAAUCCUUUAUGGGGUGACAAAACCUAAGAAAGGGCAAAUGCCCAAGUAUCCUAGUUGUAAGUCAAUUCCCCCUCCUCCCUCUCCUCAUUAUCUUUUUGUAGUUUUCCUUCAUUUUGUUUAGUCAUAAGUUAUGUCUUUUGAUAUUAAAAAUACUAUAAAGAGAAGUGUUCCAACGAAUUUCCAAAGAUUCCAAAGAUCAGGGGGUGUAUUGCAAAAGUUUUAAAACAUCAACAUCAGGGGCUAAUUCGUAAAUGUGUAAUGCAAUUCUCCUGAAUUUUGGACAUUUUUGCCCUUCACAAAAGGAACCACCUAGUCAAACUUUUCAGUUGUAUCAGCCACUGAUAGUGGGAUUGGGAACUUUCUUAUGUGGAAAAAAGCACUGAUAUCUGAAAAUGGAGAAAGCUGAAGGAUUUGUCUAGCUCUAAAGGGGAAAAACCCUACCAAACUUUGCUGCUUUAAGGCCAUAUCAUAGCAGAUGAACGUUCGGCUUUAGAACAAUAAACUUGGAAGGAUUUUUCACCUACAUGGUUUCUGACGUGGAGGUUCUUUUAAUCCAGAAGGGCAACAACAGAGCUUGUCCUAAGGGUGUUUUGCUCCUCCAAUCUCUGCUACGUCCAAAUAAAGAUCUAGGGUCUUUAAAUUGUCAAGUUCUUUGAAGGCCCAAAAAAAAAAGAAAAAAGAAAAAGAAAAAUCUAAUCUUGUCUUUGCUGGUUCUGUUCCUUUCGAAGGCAGAGGUGGCUUGCGAAUGCAUUUUCCCCGUUGACAGAGUAAGCUGUACCUGAAAUUGAUCUAAUCUAGUGAAAAUCUAUAGAUGGAGAUAUCAGAAUGGCAUUCACUCUUGAGUUCAUUUUUUUAAUUUUCUGUUGGGUACUUGCAGAGAGACAAAUUAAUGAUCUCACAGCAGAGAGUUGGUUUGGAAGAGUACACGGCUCGCAGAAAGGCUCCUUUCUAACCUUAUUGAACUGCAUAGAAUUGGUUAAUGACAUCUGGUCAUACCAAAGUUGACCUGAAGUGGCCUCUCAAUUGGCUAAUUCAUUAGAUAAGUGCAUAAUAUGUUGCAGCGUGGCAGCAAAUCUGGAUUGGCAUCAUGACUAUUUUCACGCUGCUGUUACUUUCAGCUUGCUUGAAUUUUCAUUGCUGUCUAACGAUAUGAUGCAAGAAUGUGCAUGCAAUCAGGGGUUCCAUUGGAGCAUACGUGCAUCUGUUCGUUGAGAAAAUAACAUCAGAUAAUAUACAAGAUGUACGACUAAGCACCAUGUGACCUAGUAGUUUCUACCGUGUGGACAAGAUGAACCACGACAGGUGAUAUAAUAAUUUCUCAAGUUUUCUCUUUUCUGACAGAUACAUAAUCAGUGUUGUUUAUGAGUGCAGACAUACUUAGAAGAUGCACAACCAGAGAGAAACAAUCAUUUUCGUAAGAAGAUAAUGAAUGACUACUAUUCCCCAUCCAUACCAUCGCACCAGCAUAAGGCCCUUGAUGCAGAGUCUUGAGCAUUGCUGUGAAAUUUCCAUGUCAAUCUAAGUCAUAAAGUUCUUCUGUUGGGAUUCAUACUGUUCACAAGCUUCCUAAAUGAGCAAUGAUCCUCUGUUUUGGGAGAUAGGACACUCUGGAAUAAGAAACUGCUAUUUUGGAUUCAGCUUUGUCAUGUAGAAUAUUUCAAAGCUUAAUUUCCGUGUCAGUGGCAGUUCGACAAUGGUGUAGUAGAGUUAGUCUUACUUCUCGAGCAUUAUUGACAGAGAAAUACUUGGAGGAUAAUCCCAAGCCAAAAUCAGUACAGGAAGAGAAGAACAGGGAAGGGAUUAGAGAUGAAAGCAAAUGGGUCAAGACAGCAUCCAGCUGUGAGUAGCUGCAUUAUAAGGAGGAAUAACUUGACAAACAUUCUAAUCUUGGUAUUACAGCCACUCAUAGCUUACUUGUUCAUUGCGGUGCCGCCACUUCCAGUGCGCUGCAUGUUUUUUAAUCAAAAGCUGUGUAUUGAUCGGCAGCGACUUCCCUAGUCAAACAGAAGUGCAAACCGUGUUACAUUCAGAGACCACAUGUUUCAAAUAAUGUUUACUAAAAAUGAAAGAUCUCCUGGUUCCUGAAUUAAACGUAGCCACAUAUGCACGAUGAAUAAUGGAGUCCUAAACGAAUAGGUCACCAACUAAUCUUUCAGUCCUUGGUUUGAGACAUAGUUUUGGAGAUGUAGAACUGCCUGCAUAAUGUCCAAGGACAAGCCCGUUUCUAAGGACAGAUUGUGCAUAGGUCUUUACGUAUCUAUACGUAUUUUAGUUCCUUGGAGACAUGAGUCUUUACCAUCCUGAAGCGAUUCUUUUUUCAGAUCUUAGUCGGAGCAUCCAAGAACGGCCAGGAACAUUGAUAAGGGCUUGAUCUACUCCAGCAAUUGAAAGGAUAAACAAUUCAGUAACCAUCUAGAGAUAAAGAAACAUGCAUUCAUACCACCGCCUGUGGCCUAGCUGGAUAAGAGCCUCUAUGAAGUUUACCCAGGAUAGAGGGGUUCAAAUCCCGCGGGACGCACGGGAUCUUAAGCGCGACGUCGGGGUGGUGGGUCUUCCGCUAGCGUCGCCCUAGGGUUUGCCUGCCAGCUGCCGGCUAUACGGGGUUCCCUGGGUCAUCAAAAAAGAAAAAGAAAAAAAGAAACAUGCAUUCAAAUGUGAAAUCCUUUAACAUCGAAGAUAAAGAAACACGCUUUCCUACUUCAAAAAAGUAUUGACUCUUCAUCAAAGACAAAGAAACAAACAGUGAAAUCUUUUAUAAGGAGGCCAGUACUAGUUGUGUUCACUAAUUCAAAUGUGAAAUAUUUUAAUAUCAAAAAAGAAACAUGCGUUCCUACUUCUUUAACAUGUUCACAUCUGAUUGACUCUCGUACGUUUAUAGUUUCAUUCUAAAAAAUGUCCAAGGACAAACCCGUUUCUAUGGACUGAUUGUUCACAGGUCUUUACGUAUAUAUACGUAUUUUAGUUCCUUGGAGACAUGAGUCUAUACCAUCCUGAAGCGAUUCCCUUUUUCAGAUCUUAGUCGGAGCACCCAAGAACGGCCAGGAACAUUGAUAAGGGCUUGAUCUACUCCAGUAAUUGAAAGGAUAAACAAUUCAUUGACGGUCUAGAGAUAAAGAAACAUGCAUUCAAAUGUGAAAUCCUUUAACAUCGAAGAUAAAGAAACACGCUUUCCUACUUCAAAAAAGUAUUGACCCUUCAUCGAAGCCAAAGAAACAAACAGUGAAAUCUUUUAUGAGGAGGCCAGCACUAAUUAUGUUCACUAAUUCAAAUGUGAAAUAUUUUAAUAUCGAAAAAGAAACAUGCGUUCCUACUUCUUUAACAUGUUCACAUCUGACUGACUCUCGUACGUUUAUGGCCGACAAAGUCUUUUCCAGAGUCAGAGUCAAUGGUAGAAGAUUGGCUUGGGCGGUUCGCUGUUCCAUGACCACUGACUGAAGAUCAUUUACUUCAACGAUGUCUUUACUUUUAUGAAGAUGGGAUUCACUGGCCUCUUGUUUCUUCUUGACUUGCUUUCUUACCUACGCGCUUCCUUUGCCUUUGACUCAUGAAACCCGUGAGCAUGAAACCCGUGAGCCUUAGUUUUGCACAGUUUCGAUCAUGCCACUUGCUUCUUGGGAUUGCUCUUGCGCUGUGCUUUAACCGAGUUUCCUGCACCACCAAUGAAACAGACAGACUCGCGCUGCUCGCCUUUAAGGCCGGCAUAUUCGAAGAUCCUUUUAGGGUGCUCAGCUCAUGGAAUGAUAGCAUUGGGUUUUGCCAAUGGUAUGGCGUUAUAUGUGGCAGGAGACAUCAGAGGGUCACGGUGCUGGACUUGCGAUCACAAGGACUGUUCGGAUCAAUCUCUCCUCAUAUCGGAAACCUCAGCUUCUUAGGGGAAAUGUGGCUGCAAAACAACAGUUUCAAUCAAGAAAUCCCUCCACAGCUCGGCCAGUUGCGCCGCCUGCGUAUUCUGAUAUUGACCAGCAACUCGUUAGUUGGCGAAAUUCCCAGAAACAUAUUGAGUUGCUCAGAUCUGGUCCUCCUUUGGCUUGGGAAGAACGAACUAACUGGAGAAAUUCCUAGAGAGCUUGGGUCAUUGCUGAAGAUACGGGAGUUCGCUUUGGAUCGUAAUAAUCUUACUGGGAGUAUGCCUUCCUCCAUUGGGAACUUAUCUUCACUAGAGAUCCUUUUCUUGAGCGAGAACAACUUGAGCGGGAGCAUUCCCCAAGUUUUAGGCCACUUGAAAAACUUGCAAUUCAUUGGCUUUGCAGCAAACAGAGUGUCGGGUACGAUUCCAUCUUCAUUACUCAAUCUCUCUUCCUUAACUCAGUUUGAUGCUACAUCCAACCAGAUACAUGGGACACUUCCUGCAAGCAUAGGUCUCAAACUCCCAGAUCUUGCAGAUUUUAGCAUUUUCGGGAACCAACUUCAGGGACCAAUUCCUCCAUCGAUAUCAAAUUGCACAAAGCUAGAUAUUCUUCAGCUUGGAGAUAAUAGAUUUUCUGGAAAAGUACCUUCUUUAGAAAAUUUGUAUAAUCUUAGUUGGCUUCAAAUCCUUCGUAAUCAGCUUGGUAGUGGAGAACCUGAAGACUUGAACUUCCUUUGCUCAUUAACUAACAACAGCAAAUUAAGGUACGUGGGAAUCAGCAGGAACAAGUUUGGCGGAGUGUUGCCUAUAUGCGUAGGUAAUUUAUCCAGCACUCUCAUGGCAUUCGAUGUACGCAAUAAUCAAAUAUCUGGAAAGAUUCCGGAAGAAAUUGGGAAUUUUGCCAACGUGGAAGUGUUGUAUAUGAAUCUCAAUAAGCUUUCAGGUGUUAUCCCCUCAAAUUUGGGAAAUCUACGAAAUCUAUCAAAACUGUACUUAAGUGAUAACAACCUAGGAGGGACUAUUCCAUCUUCUUUAGGAAAUCUAAGCAAGUUGAUUGACCUAGACCUUUUUGGGAACAACUUUCAUGGGCCAAUUCCUUCGCAUCUAUCAAAUUGCAUGUCUCUUAAUUCGCUCGAUCUGUCUAAGAACAAUCUCAGUGGUGUUAUACCCUCGCAACUUAUGAGUCUUCCAUCAUUAACAAUCAUUUUGAACUUAUCUCAAAACCAUUUGACUGGGGUUCUACCCCUAGAAGUUGGCAACUUGAGAACUUUGACUGCGUUGGAUAUCUCGAACAAUUUAUUGGUAGGUGAAAUCCCAAGUAGUUUAGGUGGUUGCACUUCAUUGACAUCACUGAGGAUGGGAGGCAACUUCUUCCAUGGGUUGAUUCCUCAAUCAAUCAUAUCAUUAGGAGGCAUUGGAGAACUAGAUCUUUCAUGCAACAAUUUGUCGGGUCAAAUUCCAGAAUUCUUAACAAUAUUUCAUUCCUUGAAACUUUUAAAUUUAUCCUACAAUAACUUUGAAGGCGUGCUGCCACGUGAAGGAGUCUUUAGGAAUGCUACUGGUACUUCUAUUUUUGGGAACAAUAAGCUUUGUGGUGGGCUAUCAGAAUUUCAUCUCCCUAAUUGCAUCUCCAAAAGCUUCAAGAGUAGAAAGAUCAAUUUAGUGAUAUUGUCCACUUCUGUUAUUCUCGGAGUUCUUGGAAUAGCUCUUAUUCUAGCUUUCGUAUAUCUUUGUUGGUUGAAGAAGACGGUGAUGGAACCAGUUUCAAGUUCAAGGGAUGAUUCAUGUCCAAAUGUAUCUUAUGGAACACUCCUAAAAGCAACCGAUGGUUUUUCUUCAACAAAUUUGAUUGGUGCUGGAAGCUUUGGUUCUGUUUAUAGGGGUGUACUUGAGGUCAGUGGAACUACUGUUGCCGUGAAGGUGCUUCAUCUAGUCUAUCAUGGUGCUUUGAAGAGCUUCAAUGUCGAGUGCGAGACAUUAAAGAACAUCAGACAUCGAAAUCUUUUGAAGAUAUUGACAGUUUGCUCUAGCAGUGAUUAUCAAGGGAAUGAUUUUAAGGCCUUAAUCUAUGAAUUCAUGGACAAUGGUAGCCUAGAACGGUGGCUUCACCCAAGUGCAACAUCAUCUCAUCACAAUGGAGUUCCAAGAAAGUUGAAUUUCAUUCAAAGGAUAAAUAUUGCCAUUGGUGUUGCUUAUGCGCUGGAUUAUCUUCAUCACCAGUGCCACAUGCCCAUCAUUCAUUGUGAUCUAAAGCCAAGCAAUAUCCUCUUAGAUCGUGAGAUGGUCGCACAUGUUGGUGACUUUGGAUUGGCGAAAUUCCUUAUUGGAUCAUCUUUUGAUAUUGCAACUAAUCGGAUGAGUUCUGUGGGUUUUAGAGGGACAAUCGGUUAUGCUCCACCAGGUACUCUCUCUCUCUCUCUCUCUCUCUCUCUCUCUCUCUCUCUCUCAUUGAUGGUCUUCCUGUCUAAAGUUUGGUAGCGAAUAAUAAUUCUUAUAGUCUUACGCACAUUAGAUUCUGAUUAUUUAUAUGCACUCCAAAUUUGACCUGCACUUUGAUCUCCAUGUGUGGCAGAAUAUGCAAUGGGCUGUGAGGUUUCAAGAGAAGGUGACAUCUAUAGUUACGGCAUUCUUUUACUAGAAAUGUUCACAGGAUUAAGUCCCACCGAUGACACCUUUAGAGACAAUUUGACUCUUCAUGGUUUUGUCGUAAAAGCUUUGUCUGAACGAGUGCUCGGAAUCGUGGAUAGCGCUUUGCUUCAAGAAAGAGAGAGUUAUCUAUGUCCCUAUAAUCCUCAUCAUGACAUAUUUCAAGAGUGUUUGGUUAUGAUCUAUAAUAUUGGAGUUGCUUGUUCGAACGAAGUGCCUGGAAGAAGAAUGAGUAUUAGUGGAGUUAUAAAUCAGUUGCAUCGGAUUAGGGCAAAACUCCUUGCUUCGGGCUUACAUGGACAGGUAAAUUCUAUAAUUGAAGAGAGAAUCAAUCAUCCUUUUCUCCUUUAGACCAUAGUGGAUGAUUGUUCAUCAUCUGCAUCCGUACAUAUUUAACCUUACACAAGGCCUUGGGUGCCUACACUUUUUUCAGUAUUUUUGGUUUACUCAAAGCUCUGAUUUGGUGCCAUGUUAUAUAAAAGUGAAUCAAAAUAAAUUUUCAUGACCUUUUUUUUUUACCAUUUGUAUGAUGCUCUUUAAGACGUAUUGCAAUGAUUAGCUUGUGGAAAUCUUAUUUAAGGGAAAGCUUGGUUUCUGCAGAUCGGCUAGAUGUUCGGUCAAGAAAAAGCAAUACUACUACUCUGGUGGAUGAAUAAGGAUGUAUAGCUUUUGGAUUCAACAUAUACUACCAUGACAUGGACGUGCACAGCAGGAAUUAUUUGGGAUUGUUUUGUAGAAUGAUGUUACAUGACUAUUGGGUUUUUCUUAGUGUGUAAGUGGAAAUUCUCCAGCAUUACUGCUGUCAUUAAAUUUUAUUCUCGCAUUUUAGAAAAGUUACUUGAUCGCCUUUUUUCUCGAAAGCACCUAAUCACAUAUGCAUAUGACUUACUAUAGGUAUAUGGAGCAGUCAUAUUUCAUUAUAUGGGAUUUGUUAAUUGCGCAGAUAACCAGCUUUCAAAGUUAGAAAUUACUGAUUAAUCAAGAAAUUAGUAACCGUUGAUAUGCUCAAACUUGCUCCUCUAAAUAGAAAGUGACCAUAAACGUGGAGUUAUUAAAAAUUUAUAAUUUGAAAGUAAAGAUAUUUUUUAUCAUGACAAAAUUAGUGAUCACUGAAAUGCAAACACCUACUUUCCGUGGUGAAAACUUACUAGCCUGGUUAAAAGACUUGCUUAGUAUAAUAAUUUCUUGCCUGAGCUCACCGCUUAGUAUGAUUGCAUACCCAAAUUUUGUAUGAAAGUUAUUAAUGGCGUGGAGAAAAUUAUAAACUAUUAAUAGCGUAAUAAUAACUUUCUUCUUAAAGAAAGUUACUAUUCGCAUUGACAAAUAACUUGGUAUUAGGGGUGAUUGGUUCUUAAGUCUCAAAAUUGGGAACCACUGAUCUGGUCUAAUGAAACUGGUCAAUAUAUAUAUAUUCUUUUUAUGUUUUCACCUGAAUAUCUUAUUAUUCAAAACAUGACAAUGAACAAAUUCAAAACUUGAGACGAAUCUUAUGCUUCCAUUCGAAUAUCUUAUUGUCCAAUUACAGGUUCUUACUUCCUCAGAAACAGUAAACUAAAUCCACUAAUAUUUUGUGAAGAAAUAGAAAGAUAAGUAUAUGUAAUUGGUCCGCUCCGGUCUCUUGGAAUUGGGAACCACCAAUUCCAUUUUUAAGAAACGGGAACUAGACCAAAACUCUUAGGAAUCGGACCCAAUAGGCCGGUUCGGGUCGGUUUGGGUGGUUUCUGGUUUGGGCGAUCCGUUUUGCACGUUCCUACUAAGUACUUCAUUGCAACUGAUUUUAAAGCGUUGCGGGGUGGACAUUGCAAAAAUCGAGAUACCGCGGGGGCAAAUCGCGACGACCCCAAAAACCUAGGGGGCAUGAUGCAAUCUUUCCCCCAAAAGACCCGCAAAGUCUAGACACUAUGGCAGUCUGCUGCACUUACACAAAUUCCCACGCCAGUUGGAGAGGCGAUCUUGCACUCGCGCACGAAGAUGGGGUUUCGGUUCGACCUGCUGGUCCUCGCGGUGGCCCUGCUCUCGACUCCGGCGCUCUCCGAUCUGGUGUUGACCAGGGUCGAUCGGCGCGUGAGUGUCUCUCUCUUUUCUUCUCCUCCUUCCUUCUCCCCACGAGCUCUCGGCUGUCAACUCUUCGAUCCGGCUCGUAUCGAGCAGGUUUUAGAGGGGUUUCUGGUUUUGAGGUCUUUAAGAUGUGAUUGCUUUUGCCGUGAAGUUUGAACCGGUUCCGAUGCUAUCGGCGUCGUCGAUGUGCGAUUCACGAAUCGAGUAUCGAGAGAUGCGCCGUGAGACCUUUGUUGUUUGAAUCAGAUGCGAGGAGGCGGGCUCUGAGGAUGUGUAGGUUUUGUAGGUUUGUUUACAUUUUAGAGCAUUUGAACUCGUGUCGGAUGAUUGGGCUGUCUGAUAGUGGUUCUUUACUAGAGUGGUCGGUUUUAACGAUCCUCCUGUCGUGAGGAUGAUGGGAGUAGAUUGUGAUAAGUGAAUGGGCUCCUCGAAAUUAAAGGAUUUUUUGGCUGGUCGAAAGGUCCAAUGGGUUUUGUCUGGUUUAGAUAUGAUGAGAAAAGGAUUAAGUCAAUUCAGGGUAGAGGGUUUCCAUAUCUAAAUCUGCAAGACUAUCACGUGGAAUAAUGGAGCUGAAAAAGCAUUCAGUUGAACCAUGAUACUUAUGAUAUUCAUUGACAAUUACAUGAACCGCUUGACUAAAAUUAUCAGAAAAGAAUUUUGGGAAGAAUACUGAAAUUCUAAUGUUCAUUAAUUCAAACAAAAUCUAACCAAAAUGAAGGUGAAUUCCUACACCAUAGGUAGGAUAUUACAGAAAAUGUCAGUACCUGAGGUGCAUAUACACAACCAACGGCACCGACUAUAAUUCCUCCUAAGACAAAGCCACCAACAAAGAUGCUUGCACUGCUCGGCCUUCCACCAUCUCUGCAUAAGAAAACAAGCAAAAGACUAGCAUCAGAUACAUUCAGUCAAAACUAGGACUAUAGCCAUUAUGUCACAAUUCAAUAGAAUUAUGAAAAUUUUAGGAAAUGAGUUUUGUAUUAUGAACAGAAAUUUCUUCUCGUUGGAUGACCUAUCUCACAUGUCAAGCAUAAAACGAAAGAAUUUAUUACUGAAAUAUAUAAUUGGUUUUUUUAGAAUUGUGGAAUGCGUUUGCCUCCACUGCACGAAUCUUCCAGAUCCAUCCUUGCCCAAAUAGAUUUAGAAAAACAUUUUCCACGCCGAUCAGAUAUACAAGUUUAGAGCAACUAAACUAUGUCUGCACAUCAAUGGAAGAAAGCCAGGAAUAGAUAAACAGGACAAGGAAAUACUGCAUAAAAAUAUCUCCUGGCUCUCUCUUUCUCUCCUCCCUCGGCCCCUUUCCCCUCAACUUUUUCCUUUCACCCACAACAUUUUACAGAUUUGCCAGGUCUCGACAAGUAUUCCAUGUGUCUCUGUUUUGAAUACCCAUUUCUGCAACAUAAGGUCUAUACAGGUCUGACGUAGACGGGACAAUAAUAGAAGAAAAACUGACUGCUGAUUAAGCUUCCAGUUAGGAAUUGCAUCCAAACUCCAGCACCUCAACAUCAGAUCACAACUAAGUUGCAAUACUUGGCAGUACCUAUACUCAGCACUGACAGUGAGUUGCCUUGACGAGCGGAGCUGCAGCAUUCCAGUUUGAUUUGUAGCGAACAACAAGUUUGUCCACCGUACACUUCCCAGGCAUCGCCCUCGGGGAGAAGAACUGAUGGCUUGAGCGGACAACCUGGCAAUAUGUUCCGGAAUAAAUAGCAUAAGUCCACUUAACUAAAUGAUAAGUCGAAGCUCUAAGCACAACAAGCCUUAAAUAUCUACUGCCGGUGAAACAUGAGAGAAGAAACAAAGUUCUUCUAAAUCUAGGAGUCAGAUUAUGGCAACAUAAACCAUAAAACGUAGAAUGACGUCCUAUCAUAUCAGAAGGUGUUCAGCUAUAACUUGUAUAUCAUCCGAUUCAAAUCAAGAAAGGGAGUAAGAUGCGGAUGUCCAUAUAGCGGAUGCACAAAACCUCUGCUCGGCAAUCGGGCAGAUUCAUUCCAACAUGACAAGAUGAACCUUUUUCGAGUGAGAAUUACACCGUGAGUCAUGCUAAUGUGGUAGCACAUGCCCAUCACGCACUCUAGUCUUCGUCGCAAGUUUUUGCACAUUCAUCGAAAACGAGCACCACACCAACAAGUCAUACGAUAUAUCGAUCGGGCGGAAGACUUUCCCGCGCAAGACAGCUAAUCAUCACAAGCAUGCGGCAGGUGACGGCACCCAUAAGUACAGGUAAGCGGAACCUGGAACCUACCAUCGGGUACAGGUUCCUCAUUUUUUGGAACCUGGAACCUACCCGUCAUUUUUUGGAACCUGGAACCUACCCUGUCACAGGUUCCGGGGUCGGUUCCAGGUUCCAACAGGUUCCAACGGGUUCUUUUUUUUUUCAUUUUUAGUUUUAAAAAAAUGCUUCUAUUGGAACUUACCGAAUGAUUAAUUAGCCAAGCUAUAUUCCCUUUAUUUGUGGCAUCGAUUACAAGUUCUUCACUGAUCUUGAAGAGCUGCACAAUGUCUCAGCAUGUUUAGAAGACAAACUGACAGAUAAGGCAGAUCAUGAUUUCAAUGCUAAUCAAUGAACCUGAUGAGCCAAAGAGACAAAGCUUUGGGAGGGAAAAUCAUGAAGAAACACACUUCCUAAACUCCACUCUUUAUGGUAAUGAAAAAACGAAAAACAUUUGAGAAUAUAAAUCACUGUACUUGUCUCUUUUUAUCAUGUCCUCCAUUUCCAAGAAUAAAUGAAAAGUAUAAUGACAAAUACAGCAUUUCCGUCCAACUAAAGCAUAACAUGCAAAUAAUGAGGUAGUUUUCAGAAGAAGGUACCAUUUCUCCUUCCUGAAUAUUUCUUCGAGCAAAGGGUCCCCAUCCAUGUAUACCAGAUUUACCGAAACAUAUUCGAUGCUUUUCUGUCCUCUGAAACAGUAAUUUAAUAUUAGCCAUUAUGAAAGACACAUCAAGCAAAAUGCGAUGAUAAAAAUUGGAGUAGCAAACGUACUUGUUAAUGACCAUGACAUAGUUAUAAUCAACCUCUUGGCUGUCGAACCUUCUGCAUAAUCAUCCAAGUAAAAUCAUAUUUUUCCAGGACAAGGCAGCAUGCACCAUAUAGUUUUUAGUCAAUGGAUCAUAGUUGUUAAAUCUUCUAGGUUAAAUCUUCUAGGCAAUAGACUUAACAAAAUGGCUCUGGACAUGAGAUUGAAGCAGAGAAUUAAAACAUGUAGACAAGGGGAACCAAUCUAACCUAUGAUCGGCGCAAUAUAUCAACUUCUUUGUUAUUUGACUCCCACUCUUCUCCAGACAGUGUAACUGAAAACAAAGAUAUAGAAUCAGUGUAAACUUACAUGAGUAUCUAUCUAACAUAUCCUUCCUUGAAAUCCAACGCCAAAGAAAAUAGAAAGAAAGCAAGAGCGAGCGUCAGAAUAGAUUAAAAAAUCCAGCUCAAGAAAUUCUACCAAUGUUAGUUCUGAUAAAAGUCAUGAAAAUAAUAUAUAUCUAUAUAAGGACUUACUUCCAUGCUGUGUCCUGCUCUUGCAGCACACAUAACUUGAAAAUAAGUAGGACAUCUGCUGCAUUGAGUGCAGGAACCAUGAGUCUGCUUACAUAUUACACAACUCUGCACCACAAGCAAAGAAAAGCAUUUGAAAAGAAGCACUGAGCAUCUAGAAGUUAAUGGCAAAUAAACUAAGCAGUAGACAACAAACAAAAUCAACACAUCAAACUCAAAUACUCAACUGAACAGUAAGCUGCUAUAAAGCUAUUAUGAAAUCAGGUUCUCCUCUAUUGCUAAACGCUUUUAUCAUUUCCACAAUAAGUACAAUCCACCACAUCAAAGAAACAGCAAUCUUCAAAACUGUAAAUCUAAAUAAGUAUGGAUUACCUUCAAAAAAGAAGUUGGAGGAAUUCUAAGUAUUCCAGUGGCUGGUUCCAUUUUCUCAUGAUUCAGAAAGCCAACUUCAGGGCAAAACCACGCGCAUGUGACAUGAACCCAGAGCGGCUCGAUAUCCGUUGGCUUCAAAGCACCCCCUAGAGACCAGCAUUUAAGCCAGUCAAAAUAAUUUCAAGCAAGAAAAUACUAACUCACACAACACCAAGACAUAGAUUUAGAGCAAAAGUCAGACAACUGUGAUAAUGAAUUUCAUAUGAUACGGCUUCCUCAAAAUCCCAAUAGUAAUAUUUCUAAAAAAUCAAAAGUGAUAUAUCUAAUAUUGUCACCAUGAACGUCAAAUAAUUUAAAAGUAUAAGAAACAACAUAUGAGGACAAUAGGAGAUUAAGACAUUGAAUCUAACCUUCCACCAGACAAAGACAACACUGCCUCCUCACAUCAGGCGUUUCACAUGCCCUGCAAACCCAUGAAGUGAAGUCUUGGACGUUGUUUACCCCAUAACAUUCUUGAUGCACAGCUAUCUGACACCUGCAAUCAAGAGUGAAUCCAGUUCAUUUACAGAAGAAGACAAACUAUCUAGUGACCUUUGAUUCAAAUACCAAAAAAAAGGUGGACAAAUGCUAUCUGAAAAGAUAUAAGACCUGUUGCAGAUUAUCAUUUUGUUAUAGUCCCAAUCUUCAACCCAUCUACAUACGGCACACCUUUCCGUCAUCCAUUUAGCAGAAACAGGCACAUAACUCUCUGCCAAAAAGAUAAAAUAAAUAAUAAAGCACUUCAUUCAUUCCAAACACUAAGAUUCUUUUUUUUUUCGCAGCAGGGGGAAUUCUGCUCGCAAACUUCAGCCUCUAGCUUUUGUUUUCGAAAUAUCUGUCUCUUGAUAUAAUAGUAAAGGAAGUAACUAAAACUGACCUCAACAAGCACUGAACAGGAAAAGCAGGUCCAACACAAGCCUAUAAGUCUCAUCUAAAUAAGAAGAUCAGGCCAAUCAUUAGCAGAACUGAUCAAAGGCACUGAACGUUGAACACAAUGUGUUGUAACAGCGACAAGCUUAACAAGACAUAAAGUUGAAGCAACAUUAAAAUUCACUAAAAUCCCAUCCCUGAUACUAUCCCAUCCCUGAUACUAUCAAAACCACAUGAAGCAACAGAAACUACCACAAUUCGCAGAUCAUCGGAUAUAAAAAAUGCUUGUGCUCGAGAGUAACAAAGCAGCACUAUAUCUAAGCAGCUAUUUGCUUCCUUAAAAGUCUUCAAUUCGCUUAAAAGCAAUAAUCAGAAAAGCAUCGAGAGGUCUGUUUCGCAACAACUAAAAAGCUCUAACCCAAAGCAAAAGCACCUCCUCCCAUGAAAACACCUCAGAACCCUAGCUUGGUGCGGCGCCAGUGCCUGCGCUUCGCGUUGUACCUGAACGAUUUCGGCGACAAAAAUUAGGCCACAAAAAAAUAAAAUAAAAUAAGAAGACGGCUUUUUUUGGACAAAACGUGAAGGAAUUGGAUAUGAACCUGAUGGUGUUGUCGGUCCGCAUGCGAAUCCAGUGAGGGAUGGGCCUGUUCUGCCUCAUCUUCUUCACCAGCUUCUUCUUGAUCUGGCGACGGCGAGCACGCGGCGACAGUGGCGCGACGGCGACGAAGGCACGAGUCUCACAGCACCAACGGCGGCAUGAACGGCGCACCGAAGACGGCGGCAGCCGCGGCUCAACCCACGGCCAAGGGGGAAGAGCUCAGUUCGGGCGGAGGUGGUGACGGUUCGGAGCAACGAUGGCCCGGACGGCUGAGCAAGCGGCAGCAAGAGGUGGUGAUGGUGGCUUGGGGACGGCGGCGGUGCCUCACGGUGGCGCGGACGGCAAGACAGCUCGUCGGGCUCAACGGUGAGACGGCUUGUUGGACGAGCAGUGGGUGGCGGGGGUUCGGUGGCCAACAGGUGGUGGUGAGUAGGGCGUGGGGGCGGGCGGUGUGGUGGUGGGUGAAGCAGCAACCGGCGAGAGGAAGGAAGAAGAAGAAGAAGAGGUGGGGGGGGAUGGCCGAGAGAGGGGGAAAGAGAAAGAGAGAGAGAGAGAGAAGAGAGAAGAAAAGAAAAAAGUUGGGGGGCCAGGAAGUGACGGGAGGAGGAAAAAGUGGAGAAAAGAGAGAAGGGAAAAGAACAGGGAAGGGGGGAAAGUUGAACAGAGGGGGGGGGGAAUCGCGUGGAAGGAAUUAGGGUUUUUUAUUUUUUAACUUUGUCGGUUCCGGUUCCUAUGGGAACCGAACCGGAACCUCCUCCGGUUCGGUUCCGGUUCCCGGUUCUACCCGGAACCACGCUCACCCCUACUUGCAACAGCUGAUGGAGUGAAAUACUAUGAUAUCAUUGAGGGAAAGGGUCGAGUAGCUACAAAAGGAUCGACAGUCCAGGUUUGUUGAUGUUGGUUUUCUGUUUAUAAUUCCUUGAGCAAUAUAUGAACUGGUAACAUUCUGUGUUCAAUCCUCUGUUGCAAGUGCAUUUUGACUGUAUUUAUCGUGGUAUUACUGCUGUAUCAAGUCGAGAAUCUAAGCUUUUAGCUGGAAAUCGCAUCAUUGCUCAGGUCUUAUACUUUGGAUUUUCUUUUUUCAUUUCGUUUUGUUUUUUGUUACAGAGAAAUUUCCCUCAUUUUUGACUUGUGCCUUAUCUGGACAAAUGCUUUGCUAAUGUGCAAGCUUACUUGGCAUUAUUAGCCAUAUGAAUUCAAGGUAGGAUCUCCUCCAGGAAAGGAACGCAAGCGUGGAUCUGUAGAUAAUCCAAAUGGAUUAUUUUCAGCACAGGCAGCUCCCAAGCCGCCACCUGCUAUGUACUCGAUAACAGAAGGGAUGAAAGUGGGUGGAAAGGUGAUUUUAUCUCGGUUCCCAGUGGCAGUAAAUAUUCAUCAAUGUGGCUAGUUUGCCGUUCAGUACCUGAAUUGCAUUCCCUUUGACUAGUGCUGUUGUAUUUUCCUUGUCAUAUCUUCUCUGUCUUAUUGUUCUUGAACUUUUGUCCUUUUCCAGAGAACAGUGAUCGUUCCUCCAGAGGCUGGCUACGGUCAGAAGGGAAUGGCUGAGAUACCGGUAGUCUUUAUAUUCUUGGUCAUGACUAACAAUCAUUUUUGUUGUGACAUGAGUACCUUUAUUAUGGAAAUCAGCAGGUCAUCAAAUGAUGUCAUUGGGAAUUAACAAACUUUGUGCUUAGGAGCUGAACAUACCACCAAAUGCCCGGUUCUUAGAGCUUGCUUGAAUUUUAUUGCGUCUUUUAAGAUUUCAAUUCCAAUCCUAAAUGAGGUUUUCAGUAUAUAUGCCUGCUGGCUGGAGUUCAGCUGCAUUUGGCAUCUCUGAACGUGUCAUUACAUGUUGUUGAAAGGUUAAUAUGAUUUAUUCCCAAGAGUAAUUGUGUUUUCCUUUUCCAGCCAGGAGCCACCUUUGAACUGAAUAUCGAGCUUCUGCAAGCAGAACGGCCUGAAGGAAACCAGACUUAGAAUUGGGUGAGCAGGACCAUGAGGAGAUGGAGUUGAUAUAAUGCUGAAAUUUUGUCUCUUUUUCUUCUAACAGAAGGCAGAUGAGUCAGCUGAGGGAUUUUUAUGGGCAGAGAAAUUAGUCAGAUUGAAAUUGUGACUCUCCAGUUUCUACAUAUGUUCUGUACCAAAAAAGCCCCUGCACAUUUUGUAUGUAUCUACCAGGAUUUUGGAAUUCAACGAAACACCUUCUUCAUCUCCUUCAUCUUCUUAUAUUCUUGUUUCUAAUGCUGCAGAAAUUCACUGAUAUUGUCUGUACUGUAUAAAUGAGACUAUUGACCGCAGGAGUAGAGACUAAAUUUCCAAACUUCUCUCCCAUCCUCUUUAAGGAAAACAAGAUCGGCACCUGCUUGCAACAAGCUCUGGUUUAUCUUAUCACAAGAAUGGGAACAUUGGAUGAUAGUUAGGAACAGUGUUUUUGUGCUCUGCCAUAUUUACAGUUGCGAAUUUGGCAUACUUGUUCCAUCAACCUUGAACAUUUGUUGAAUGAAGAAGCAAAAUUUAGACGGAUGAGGAGCAUGCAAGUUGCAACAGAAUUGCAUAUUAUGUCAAAACAACGAGUAGUCCACUAUGUCAUUUUUUUUUCUUUUGAAUUGCUGGCAUUUUUCUUUAAUAAUGGAAAAAUCCACCAUGGAUAAACUCCAACCUGUGAGAUUCCUCAAUAAUCUUGUAGACAAGUCACACGGGAGCCAAAAUUUCUGUUUUCCUUUUGGAAAUUGUGCGCGGCAUUUUACAUAUUAAUCUUAGUACGAAGCACGAAACCUAAAAUCAAUAGGGAAGGGUGGUUUUACGAUAACUUCCGUUUUCUAUCAGUGCUUCAUAUUGUGCUAAAUGAUUAGAUCCUGUUUAUUAUUAUUUGAUAGUCUCAGUUUUUGUGGUUUUAUGGCAUGAUAAGGGCCAUUUUCAGCAAUUAAUUUUGUCAGCUUGAUAUUCCAAUUGCCAAAAUCCCACACCAGUAAUCCUCUUAGAAUAUACACACAUUCGUUCAUUACCCAUUGAAUACAUUAUACAUGCGAUGGACUAAUGGAGUAUUUCAUAAAACAAAGAAAACACGCAACGGAGAUGUCACUUUAUCUUUAAGGAACAUUUACAUUUUCGUUGAAAUGUAUUUUCCCUUGGUUCAUUUCUAGCAAAACUAAAAGAAUCGUUUCAUUUUAUAUUUGAUUAGUGUGUAUUUUGAUAAUUAGAUGGGUCUGGUUUACAUGAUUCUAGUUUAUUCAAUAAUUAACUAUCAUCAAUUGUUCGCUUUUAUAAAAAAAAUUCACUAUCACAAGUCAGAACAUGAGGCCGAAAUUGUUUGAAAAUGAAUGGGAAGAAAAUGGAUAAUUAUAACCUAAAAUUAUAUUGUUUCGGGCACUUAAGUACUAAGACUUUAUUUUAUUUAUUUAAAUUCUAAAACUUGCCAUUUUGAUGAAUUUUAAGACCUUCCUUCAGUUGAUGAAAGGACCAAUUGAACCGAAAGUUACAAAUUCUAGGAUUCAAAUGCAAGGAAUGAAGGUAUUAGAACUUAAGUACAUGAAAUUGACAAGUUUAAGGAUUUACGUUAAUAGUUUGCCUGAAAGAAAAUAUGAGCUUAAAUCAGCAUGAAAAUGAAAACAUUUCACUUUUCCGUUUCUCACAUAAUUUAAUUAUUUGUAUGCUAAUGAAAUAUUUUGAAAUGCCUGGGAGGCAACCAGACAAACAGCUCACACGAUCAGGGAUGAUUACAUCAUACCCCCUUAGGUUUUCGGUUGUGGCAAUUUGCCCUUAAUAACUCAAUUUUUCCAUGUCCUCUAGGCAUUUUGAAAUUUAGUGCAAUGUUGACCAAACACUCUGCAUGGUAUCUCUCAUUUUAGAUUUGAUGAAAUGGGAUGAACUAAGAUGAGAUAUAGGGAAAAAAAAAAGAGUGGAUAGUGAUUGCUAAUGGAGAUCGGCAAUACCUAUUACCUUGGGAUUGGUCGGUGCUCAGAGUGACAAUGGUCAAUGAUUUAGGUGCUCCUGCUUGAAAUAUCAUUGCGUAAAAAAGAGUCAUAUUGAGCGAGAGACGACGAUCAAUCCUUUAUGGGGUGACAAAACCUAAGAAAGGGCAAAUGCCCAAGUAUCCUAGUUGUAAAUCAAUUCCCCCUCCCCCCUCUCCUCAUUAUCUUUUUUUAGUUUUCUUUCAUUUUGUUUAGUCAUAAGUUGAAGGAUUCAUUUAGCUCUAAAGGGGAAAAACCCUGCCAAACUUUGCUGCUUUAAGACCAUAUCAUUGCAGAUGAAUGUUCGGCUUUAGAACAAUCAACUUGGAAGGAUUUUUCACCUACAUGGUUUCUGACGGGGAGGUUCUUUUAAUCCAGAGGGGCAACAACAGAGCUUGUCCUAAGGGUGUUUUGCUCCUCCAAUCUCUGCUAUGCCCAAAUAAAGAUCAAGGGUCUUUAAAUUGUCAAGUUCUAUGAAGGCAAAAAAAUAUAUAAAAUAAAAAUAAAAAGAAAAAAAGAAAAAUCUAAUCUUGUCUUUGCUGGUUCUGUUCCUUCUCACAUAAUAAGCAGAGUCAGUUCAACUUCGAAGGCAGAGGUGGCUUGCUAAUGCGUUGUCCCUGUUGACAGAGUAAGCUGUACCUGAAAUUGAUCUAAUCUAGUGAAAAUCUAUAGAUGGAGAUAUCAGAAUGGCAUUCACUCUUGAGUUCAAUUUUUGAAUUUUCUGUCGGGUACUUGCAAAGAGACAAAUUAAUGAUCUCACGGCAGAGGCUUGGUUUGGAAGAGUACGUGGCUCGCAGAAAGGCUCGUUUCUAACCUUAUUGAGCUGCAUAGAAUUGGUUAAUGACAUCUGGUCAUACCAAAGUUGACCUGAAGUGGCCUCUCAAUUGGCUAAUUCAUUAGAUAAGUGCAUGGUAUGUUGCAGCGUGGCAGCAAAUCUGGAUUGGCAUCAUGACUAUUUUCACGCUGCUGUUACUUUCAACUUGCUUGAAUUUUCAUUGCUGUCUAACGAUAGGUUGCAAGAAUGAGCAUGCAAUCAGGGGUUCCAUUGGAGCAUACGUUCAUGAUCUUACUUGAAACUAUUCGUCGAGAAAAUAACAUCAGAUAAUAUACAAGAUGUAUGACUAAGCACCAUGUGACCUAGUAGUUUCUACCGUAUGGACAAGAUGAACUACGACAGGUGAUAUAAUAAUUUCUCAAGUUUUCUCUUCUCUGACGGAUACAUAAUCAGUGUUGUUUAUGAGUGCAGACAUACUUAGAAAAUGCACAACCAGAGAGAAACAAUCAUUUUCGUAAGAAGAUAAUGAAUGACUACUAUUCCCCUUCUGUAUCAUUGCACCGGCAUAAGGCCCUUGAUGCAGAGUCUUAAGCAUUGCUGUGAAAUUUCCAAGUCAAUCUAAGUCAUAAAGUUCUUUUGUUGAGAUUCAUACUGUUCACAAGCUUCCCAAAUGAGCAAUGAUCCUCUGUUUUGGGACAAAGAUAGGAUACUCUGGAAUAAGAAACUGCUAUUUUGGAUUCAGCUUUGUCAUGUAGAAUAUUUCAAAGCUUAAUUUCCGUGUCAGUGGUAGCUCGACAACGGUGUGGUAGAGUUAGUUUUACUUCUGGUGAUGUGGUUCCGUGUGUCUGACGUCACAAUUAAGAGUUCCUAUACUUGUAAACAUUACGCAAUUUUCACUUCCAUUCUCCUGAGGAUGUGAGACCACUUUUCUACUGUUGGAGAACUGUUAAGUCCAAGCAACCGUCACUGGUCCAGAAGAAAAUACUUGCAAUCAUGUUUAUGUUAUGCAGUUUCAUCUGCAUCCAAUUGUCAAGAAAUGAAGUCGACUUUAUUUACAACAAAAUUGAGCCACAAAAUGCAUCUUGAGCAUUAUUGACAGAGAAAUACUUGGAGGAUAAACCCAAGCCAAAAUCAGUAUAGGAAGAGAAGAACAGGGAAGGGAUUAGAGAAAAAGCAAAUGGGUCAAGACAGCAUCCAGCUGUGAGUAGCUGCAUUAUAAGGAGGAAUAACUUGACAUUCUAAUCUUGGUAUUACAACCACUCCUAGCUUACUUGCUCAUUGCAGUGCCGCCACUUUCAGUGUGCUGCAUGUUUUUUUAAUCAAAAGCUGUGUAUUGAUCGGCAGCCACUUCCCUAGUCAAACAGAAGCGCAAACCAUGUUACAUUCAGAGACCACAUGGGUCAAAUAAUGUUGACUAAAAAUGAAAGGAGAUCUCCUGGUUCCUGAAUUAAACCUAGCCACAUAUGCACGAUGAAUAACAGAGUCCUAAACGAAUAGGUCACCAACUAAUCUUUCAGUCCUUGGUUUGAGACAUAGUUUUGGAGAUGUAGAACUGCCUGCAUCUGCUGCCGCACUAAAAUCACAAGGUGAGAGGACCCUUAUAGUUUCAUUCUAAAAAAUGUCCAAGGACAAGCCCGGACUGAUUGUUCAUAGGUCUUUACGUAUCUAUACAUAUUUUAGUUCCUUGGAGACAUGAGUCUAUACCAUCCUGAAGUGAUUCUCUUUUUCAGAUCUUAGUCGGAGCAUCAAAGAACGGCUAGGAACAUUGAUAAGGACUUGAUCUACACCAGCAAUUGAAAGGAUAAACAAUUCAUUAACGGUCUAGAGAUAAAGAAACAUGCAUUCAAAUGUGAAAUCCUUUAACAUCGAAGAUAAAGAAACACGCUUUCCUACUUCAAAAAAGUAUUGACUCUUCAUCAAAGACAAAGAAACAAAUAGUGAAAUCUUUUAUAAGGAGGCCAGCACUAAUUGUGUUCACUAAUUCAAAUGUGAAUUAUUUUAAUAUCAAAAAAGAAACACGCGUUCCUACUUCUUUAAUAUGUUCACAUCUGAUUGAUUCUUGUACGUUUAUGAAUGUCCAAGGACAAACCCGUUUCUAUGGACUGAUUGUUCAUAAGUCUUUACAUAUCUCUACGUAUUUUAGUUCCUUGGAGACAUGAGUCUAUACCAUCCUGAAGCUAUUCUCUUUUUCAGAUCUUAGUCGGAGCAUCCAAGAACGGCCAGGAACAUUGAUAAGGGCUUGAUCUACUCCAGCAAUAGAAAGGAUACACAAUUCAUUAACGGUCUAGAGAUAAAGAAACAUGCAUUCAAAUGUGAAAUCCUUUAACAUCGAAGAUAAAGAAACACGCUUUCCUACUUCAAAAAAGUGUUGACUCUUCACCGAAGACAAAGAAACAAACAGUGAAAUCUUUUAUAAGGAGGCCAGUACUAAUUGUGUUCACUAAUUCAAAUGUGAAAUAUUUUAAUAUCGAAAAAGAAACACGCGUUCCUACUUUUUUAACAUGUUCACAUUUGAUUGACUCUCGUACGUUUAUAGUUUCAUUCUAAAAAAUGUCCAAGGACAAACCCGUUUCUAUGGACUGAUUGUUCAUAGGUUUUUACGUAUCUAUAUGUAUUUUAGUUCCUUGUAGACAUGAGUCUAUACCAUCCUGAAGCUAUUCUCUUUUUCAGAUCUUAGUCGGAGCAUCCAAGAACGGCCAGGAACAUUGAUAAGGGCUUGAUAUGCUCCAGCAAUAGAAAGGAUAAACAAUUCAGUAACGGUCUAGAGAUAAAGAAACAUGCAUUCAAAUGUGAAAUCCUUUAACAUCGAAGAUAAAGAAACACGCUUUCCUACUUCAAAAAAGUGUUGACUCUUCACCGAAGACAAAGAAACAAACAGUGAAAUCUUUUAUAAGGAGGCCAGUACUAAUUGUGUUCACUAAGUCAAAUGUGAAAUAUUUUAAUAUCGAAAAAGAAACAUGCAUUCCUACUUUUUUAACAUGUUCACAUCUGAUUGACUCUCGUAGUUUAUAGUUUCAUUCUAAAAAAUGUCCAAAGACAAACCUGUUUCUAUGGACUGAUUGUUCAUAGGUCUUUACGUAUCUAUACGUAUUUUAGUUCCUUGGAGACAUGAGUCUAUACCAUCCUGAAGCUAUUCUCUUUUUCAGAUCUUAGUCGGAGCAUCCAAGAACGGCCAGGAACAUUGAUAAGGGCUUGAUCUACUCCAGCAAUAGAAAGGAUACACAAUUCAUUAACGGUCUAGAGAUAAAGAAACAUGCAUUCAAAUGUGAAAUCCUUUAACAUCGAAGAUAAAGAAACACGCUUUCCUACUUCAAAAAAGUAUUGACUCUUCAUCAAAGACAGAAACAAACAGUGAAAUCUUUUAUAAGGAGGCCAGUACUAAUUGUGUUCACUAAUUCAAAUGUGAAAUAUUUUAAUAUCGAAAAAGAAACACGCGUUCCUACUUUUUUAACAUGUUCACAUUUGAUUGACUCUCGUACGUUUAUAGUUUCAUUCUAAAAAAUGUCCAAGGACAAACCCGUUUCUAUGGACUGAUUGUUCAUAGGUUUUUACGUAUCUAUAUGUAUUUUAGUUCCUUGUAGACAUGAGUCUAUACCAUCCUGAAGCUAUUCUCUUUUUCAGAUCUUAGUCGGAGCAUCCAAGAACGGCCAGGAACAUUGAUAAGGACUUGAUCUACAUCAGCAAUUGAAAGGAUAAACAAUUCAUUAACGGUCUAGAGAUAAAGAAACAUGCAUUCAAAUGUGAAAUCCUUUAACAUUGAAGAUAAAGAAACACACUUUCCUACUUCAAAAAAGUAUUGACUCUUCAUCAAAGACAAAGAAACAAAUAGUGAAAUCUUUUAUAAGGAGGCCAGCACUAAUUGUGUUCACUAAUUCAAAUGUGAAUUAUUUUAAUAUCGAAAAAGAAACACGCGUUCCUACUUCUUUAAUAUGUUCACAUCUGAUUGAUUCUUGUACGUUUAUGAAUGUCCAAGGACAAAUCCGUUUCUAUGGACUGAUUGUUCAUAGGUUUUUACGUAUCUAUAUGUAUUUUAGUUCCUUGUAGACAUGAGUCUAUACCAUCCUGAAGCUAUUCUCUUUUUCAGAUCUUAGUUGGAGCAUCCAAGAACGGCCAGGAACAUUGAUAAGGGCUUGAUCUACUCCAGCAAUAGAAAGGAUAAACAAUUCAGUAACGGUCUAGAGAUAAAGAAACAUGCAUUCAAAUGUGAAAUCCUUUAACAUCGAAGAUAAAGAAACACGCUUUCCUACUUCAAAAAAGUAUUGACUCUUCAUCAAAGACAAAGAAACAACAGUGAAAUCUUUUAUAAGGAGGUCAGUACUAAUUGUGUUCACUAAUUCAAAUGUGAAAUAUUUUAAUAUUGAAAAAGAAACAUGCAUUCCUACUUCUUUAACAUGUUCACAUCUGAUUGACUCUCGUACGUUUAUAGUUUCAUUCUAAAAAAUGUCCAAAGACAAACCUGUUUCUAUGGACUGAGUGUUCAUAGGUCUUUACGUAUCUAUACGUAUUUUAGUUCCUUGGAGACAUGAGUCUAUACCAUCUUGAAGCUAUUCUCUUUUUCAGAUCUUAGUCGGAGCAUCCAAGAACGGCCAGGAACAUUGAUAAGGGCUUGAUCUACUCCAGCAAUAGAAAGGAUACACAAUUCAUUAGCGGUCUAGAGAUAAAGAAACAUGCAUUCAAAUGUGAAAUCCUUUAACAUUGAAGAUAAAGAAACACGCUUUCCUACUUCAAAAAAGUAUUGACUCUUCAUCGAAGACAAAGAAAAAAACAGUGAAAUCUUUUAUAAGGAGGCCAGUACUAAUUGUGUUCACUAAGUCAAAUGUGAAAUAUUUUAAUAUCGAAAAAGAAACACGCGUUCCUACUUUUUUAACAUGUUCACAUUUGAUUGACUCUCGUACGUUUAUAGUUUCAUUCUAAAAAAUGUCCAAGGACAAACCCGUUUCUAUGGACUGAUUGUUCAUAGGUUUUUACGUAUCUAUAUGUAUUUUAGUUCCUUGUAGACAUGAGUCUAUACCAUCCUGAAGCUAUUCUCUUUUUCAGAUCUUAGUCGGAGCAUCCAAGAACGGCCAGGAACAUUGAUAAGGACUUGAUCUACAUCAGCAAUUGAAAGGAUAAACAAUUCAUUAACGGUCUAGAGAUAAAGAAACAUGCAUUCAAAUGUGAAAUCCUUUAACAUUGAAGAUAAAGAAACACACUUUCCUACUUCAAAAAAGUAUUGACUCUUCAUCAAAGACAAAGAAACAAAUAGUGAAAUCUUUUAUAAGGAGGUCAGUACUAAUUGUGUUCACUAAUUCAAAUGUGAAAUAUAUUAAUAUCGAAAAAGAAACACGCGUUCCUACUUCUUUAAUAUGUUCACAUCUGAUUGAUUCUUGUACGUUUAUGAAUGUCCAAGGACAAACCCGUUUCUAUGGACUGAUUGUUCAUAAGUCUUUACAUAUCUCUACGUAUUUUAGUUCCUUGGAGACAUGAGUCUAUACCAUCCUGAAGCUAUUCUCUUUUUCAGAUCUUAGUCGGAGCAUCCAAGAACGGCCAGGAACAUUGAUAAGGGCUUGAUCUACUCCAGCAAUAGAAAGGAUACACAAUUCAUUAACGGUCUAGAGAUAAAGAAACAUGCAUUCAAAUGUGAAAUCCUUUAACAUCGAAGAUAAAGAAACACGCUUUCCUACUUCAAAAAAGUGUUGACUCUUCACCGAAGACAAAGAAACAAACAGUGAAAGCUUUUAUAAGGAGGCCAGUACUAAUUGUGUUCACUAAGUCAAAUGUGAAAUAUUUUAAUAUCGAAAAAGAAACAUGCAUUCCUACUUUUUUAACAUGUUCACAUCUGAUUGACUCUCGUAGUUUAUAGUUUCAUUCUAAAAAAUGUCCAAAGACAAACCUGUUUCUAUGGACUGAUUGUUCAUAGGUCUUUACGUAUCUAUACGUAUUUUAGUUCCUUGGAGACAUGAGUCUAUACCAUCCUGAAGCAAUUCUAUUUUUCAGAUCUUAGUCGGAGCAUCCAAGAAUGGCCAGGAACAUUGAUAAGGGUUUGAUCUACUCCAGCAAUUGAAAGGAUAAACAAUUCAUUAACGGUCUAGAGAUAAAGAAACGUGCGUUCAAAUGUGAAAUCCUUUAACAUUGAAGAUAAAGAAACACGCUUUCCUACUUUAAGAUGGGAUUCACUGGCCUCUUGUUUCUUCUUGACUUGCUUUCUUAGCUACCCGCUUGCUUCGCCUUUGAGUCAUGAAACCCGUGAGCCUUAGCUUUGCAGAGUUUCGAUCAUGCCACUUGCUUCUUGGGAUUGCUCUUGCGCUGUGCUUUAACCGAGUUUCCUGCACCACCAAUGAAACAGACAGACUCGCGCUGCUCGCCUUUAAGGCCGGCAUAUCCGAAGAUCCUUUUGGGGUGCUCAGCUCAUGGAACGAUAGCAUUGGGUUUUGCCAGUGGUAUGGCAUUAUAUGUGGCAGGAGACAUCGGAGGGUCACGGUGCUGGACUUGCGUUCACAAGGACUAUUCGGAUCAAUCUCUCCUCAUGUCGGAAACCUCAGCUUCUUAGGGGAAAUGUGGCUACAAAACAACAGUUUCAAUCAAGAAAUCCCUCCACAGCUCGGUCAGUUGCGCCGCCUGCGUAUUCUGAAAUUUACCAGCAACUCGUUAAUUGGUGAAAUUCCCAGAAACAUAUCGGGUUGCUCGGAUUUGGUCCUCCUUUGGCUUGGGAAGAACAAACUAACUGGAGAAAUUCCUAGAGAGCUUGGGUCAUUGCUGAAGCUACGGGAGUUCGCUUUGCAUAAAAAUAAUCUUACCGGGAGUAUGCCUUCCUCCAUUGGGAACUUAUCUUCACUGGAGAUCCUUGUCUUGAGGGAGAACAACUUGAGCGGGAGCAUUCCCCAAGUUUUAGGCCACCUGAAAAACUUGCAAUUCAUUAGCUUGGCAAUAAACGCAGUGUCGGGUACGAUUCCAUCUUCAUUACUCAAUCUCUCUUCCCUAAUUGCGUUUGAUGCUGGAAACAACCAGAUACAUGGGACACUUCCUGCAAGCAUAGGUCUCAAACUCCAAUAUCUCUCAACCAGCUUUCAGGUGAUAUCCCCUCAAAUUUGGGGAAUUUACAAAAUCUAUCAUACCUGGAAUUAAGUGAUAACAACCUAGGAGGGACUAUUCCAUCUUCUUUAGGAAAUCUAAGCAAGUUGAUUUCCCUAUUCCUUGAUGGGAACAACUUUCAUGGGCCAAUUCCUCCACCUCUAUCAAAUUGCCUGUCUCUUAAUUUGCUCGAUCUGUCUGAUAACAAUCUCAGUGGUGCCAUACCCCCGCAACUUAUGGGUCUCCCAUCAUUAGCAAUCAUUUUGAACUUAUCUCAUAACCAUCUUACUGGGUUUCUACCCCCAAAAAUUGGCAAUUUGAGAACUUUGACUAUGUUGGACAUCUCGAACAAUUUAUUGGUAGGUGAAAUCCCAAGCGGUUUAGGUGAAUGCACUUCACUGACAUCGCUGUGGAUGGGAGGCAACUUUUUCCACGGGUCGAUUCCUCAAUCAAUGAGAUCGUUAGGAGGCAUUGACGAAUUAGAUCUUUCAUGCAAUAAUUUGUCGGGUCAAAUUCCAGAAUUCUUAAUAGUAUUUCGUUCCUUGAAACUUUUAAAUUUAUCCUACAAUAACUUUGAAGGCGUGCUGCCAUGUGAAGGAGUCUUUAGGAAUGCUACUGGUACUUCUAUUAUUGGGAACAAUAAGCUUUGUGGUGGGCUACCGGAAUUUCAUCUCCCUAAUUGCAUUUCCAAAAGCUUCAAGAGUAGAAAGAUCAAUUUAGUGAUAUUGUCCACUUCUGUUAUUCUCGGAGUUCUUGGAAUAGCUCUUAUUCUAGCUUCCAUAUAUCUUUGUUGGUUGAAGAAGAUAGUGAUGGAACCAGUUUCAAGUUCAAGGGAUGAUUCAUGUCCAAAUGUAUCUUAUGGAACACUCCUAAAAGCAACCGAUGGUUUUUCUUCAACAAAUUUGAUUGGUGCUGGAAGCUUUGGUUCUGUUUACAGGGGUGUACUUGAGGUCAGUGGAACUACUGUUGCCGUGAAGGUGCUUCAUCUAGUCUGUCAUGGUGCUUUGAAGAGCUUCAAUGUCGAGUGCGAGGCAUUAAAGAACAUCAGACAUCGAAAUCUUUUGAAGAUAUUGACAGUUUGCUCUGACAGUGAUUAUCAAGGAAAUGAUUUUAAGGCCUUAGUUUAUGAAUUCAUGGACAAUGGUAGCCUAGAACGGUGGCUUCACCCAAGUGCAACAUCAUCUCAUCACAAUGGAGUUCCAAGAAAGUUGAAUUUCAUUCAAAGGAUAAAUAUUGCUAUUGGCGUUGCUUCUGCAGUGGAUUAUCUUCAUCACCAGUGCCACAUCCCCAUCAUUCAUUGUGAUCUAAAGCCAAGCAAUAUCCUCUUAGAUUCUGAGAUGGUCGCACAUGUUGGUGACUUUGGAUUGGCGAAAUUCCUUAUUGGAUCAUCUUUUGGUACCGCAGCUAAUCAGAUGAGUUCUGUGGGUUUUAGAGGGACAAUCGGUUAUGCUCCACCAGGUACUCUCUCCCUCCCUCUCUCUUUCCCUCCCCUCUCUCUCUCUCUCUCUCUCUCUCUCUCUCUCUCUCUCUCUCUCUCAUUGAUGGUCUUUCGUCCGAAGUUUGGUAGCAAAUAAUAAUUCUUAUAGUCUUAUGCAAAUUAGAUUCUGAUUGAUGAUAUGCACUCCAAAUUUGACCUGCACUUUGAUCUCCAUGUGUGGCAGAAUAUGCAAUGGGAUGUGAGGUUUCAAGAGAAGGUGAUGUCUAUAGUUAUGGCAUUCUUUUACUAGAAAUGUUCACAGGAUUAAGUCCCACCGAUGACACCUUUAGAGACAAUUUGACUCUUCAUGGUUUUGUCGCAAAAGCUUUGCCUGAUCAAGUGCUCGAAAUCACGGAUAGCCCUCUGCUUCAAGAAAGAGAGAGCCAUCUAAGUCGCUAUAAUCCUCAGCAUGACAUAUUUCAAGAGCGUUUGGCUAUGAUCUAUAAUAUUGGAGUUGCUUGUUCAAACGAAGUGCCUGGAAGACGAAUAAGCAUUAGCGGAGUUAUAAAUCAGCUACAUCGAAUUAGGGAGAAACUCUUUGCUUUGGGUUUACAUGGACCGGUAAAUUCUAUAACCGAAGAGAGAAUCAACCAUCCUUUUCUCCUUUAGACCAUAGUCGAUGAUUAUUGAUCAUUGGCAUCUAUACAUAUCUAACCUUACACAAGGCCUUGGGUGCCUACACAUUUUUCGGUAUUUUUGGUUUACUCAAAGCUUUGAUUUGGUGCCAUGUUAUGUAAAAGUGAAUCAAAAUAAAUUUUCAUGACCUUUUUUUUUUCCCAUUUGUAUGAUGCUCAUUAAGACGUAUUGCAAUUGAUAAGCUUGUGGAAAUCUUAUUUAAGGGAAAGCUUGGUUUCUGCAGAUCGACUAGGAAUGGGCUGCCAGGAAUUGAACUAAUGUUCCUAAAGCUACGUUCGGUCAAGAAAAAGCAAUACUACUGCUCUGGUGGAUGAAUACAGAUGUAUAGCUUUUGGAUUCAGCAUACUAGCAUGACGUGCACAGCAGGGAUUAUCUGGGAUUGUUUUGUACAAUGAUGUUACAUGACUAUUGGGUUUUUCUUAGUGUGUAAGUGGAAAUUCUCCAACACUAUUGCUGUCAUUAAAUUUUAUUCUCGCGUUUUAGAAAAGUUACUUGAUCGCCUUUUUUCUCUAAAGCACCUAAUCACACAUGCAUAUGACUUACUAUAGGUAUAUGGAGCAGUCAUAUUUCAUUAUAUGGGAUUUGUUAAUUGCGCGGAUAACCAGCUUUCAAAGGUAGAAAUUACCGAUUAACCGUUGAUAUGCUCAAACUUGCUUUUCUAAAUAGAAAGUGACCAUAAAUGUGGUAUUAAAAUGUACAAUUUGAAAGUAAAGAUACUUUUUAUCAUGACAAAAUUAGCGAUCACUGAAAUGCAAACACCUACUUUCCAUGGUGAAAACUUUUACUAGCCGGGUUAUAAGACUUACUCAGUAUAAUCGCAUAGCCGAAUUUUGUAUGAAAGUUAUUAAUGGUGUGGAGAAAAUUAUUAAAUAUUAAUAGGGCAGUAUUAAUUUUCUUCUUAAAGAAAGUUACUAUUCACAUUGACAAAUAACUAGGUAUUAGGGGCAAUUGGUUUCCGAGUUUUAAAAUUGGGAUCCACUAGUCCAGUCUAAUGAAAUUGGUUACUAUUUCUUUUUCAUGUUUUCAUUCAGAUAUCUUAUUAUCCAAAACAUGACAAUGGAAAAAUUCAAAGCUCCAAUGAAUUAAGAUAUCUAAUUCUCAAAUUACAGGCGCUUAUUUUCUCAUAAACGAAAAACUAAACUCACUAAUUCUUUUGAAAAAAUAGAAAAAUAAAUAUAUACUAUCGAUCCGAUUUGAUUUCUCUUGGAAUCAGGACUAUUUGGACACUAAUUUCACUUCUAAGAAAUGGGAACUAGAUUGACACUCUCAGAAAUCGGACCCAACCGGCUGAUUCGGUCUAAUCCGGGUGGUUUCUGGUUCGGGCAGUCCGUUUUGUGCAUCCUACUAAGUACUUUAUUGUAACUUGAUUUCAAAGUGUUGCGGGGUGGAUAAUGCAAAAAAAUCGAGAUACCACGGGGGCAAAUCGCAACAGUCUCAAAAACCUAGGGGGCAUGAUGCAAUCUUUCCCCUAAAAGACCCGCAAAGUCUCGACCCUAUGGGAGUCUGCUGCACUUACACAAAUUCCCACGCCAGUCCGAGAGACGAUCGAGCACUCGCGCAUGAAGAUGGGGUUUCGGUUCGACCUGCUGGUCCUCGCGGUGGCCCUGCUCUCGACUCCGGCGCUCUCCGAUCUGGUGUUGACCAGGGUCGAUCGGCGCGUGAGUCUCUCUCUCUCUCUCCUCUCCUCUCCUCCUUCCUUCUCCCCGCGAGCUCUCGGCCGUUAACUCUUCGAUCCGGCUCGUAUCGAGCAGGUUUUAGGGGGGGUUUUUCCUUUGAGGUCUUUAAGAUGUGAUUGCUUUUGCCGUGAAGUUUGAGCUGGUUCCGAUGCCAUUGGCGUCGUCGAUGUGCGAUUCGCGAAUCGAGUAUCGAGAGAUGUGCCGGGAGGCCUUUGUUGUUUGAAUCAGAUGCGAGGAGGCGGGUUCUGGGGAUGUGUAGGUUUUGUAGGUUUGUUUGCAUUUUAGAGCAUUUGAACUCGUGUCGGAUGAUUGGGCUGUCUGGUAGUGGUUCUUUACUGGAGUGGUCGGUUUUAACGAUCCUCCUGUCGUGACGAUGAUGAGAGUAGAUUGUGUUAAGUGAAUGGGCUCCUCGAAAUUUAAAGGAUUUUUUUGCUGGU